GAGGGCGGGCAGCGCCGGGCCCCGGCUCGACGCGGCGCGGUUCGCACUUACUCCGCGGGGCCUCCGUGGCGGCGGCGCGGGCCCGGCGGUGCCCCGGGAGCGGCGCUCUUUGCACCCAUUGACCAAAUUCAGAAAGUACAAAGCAUCUCUCUACUUGUAGAGAAAGUAAGAUGCUGUCCCCACAGUGAUCUUCCUUCACCACGGGUGCACCAGCAGUGCCACUGAAAUCAAAAGAGUGUCUCACUGUUUGUCCCGAAGGACCUCCAUCAAUUGGAAUCAAUUAUUUCUCCUUAACAAAGAUAUGGAGUUUUUCCCCGGUUGUUUCUUCUCCAUAACAGUCCUGGGCUGUGCACAAACAUACCAACAAACUCAGCCGAAGUGCAGAUUUUUUCUUUAAAGUAAGUGGACCCGUUAGGCCAUGUUAUUAUUUAUAAGAGCAUAGUCUUUUAAUUCUCAUGAAACUAUUUCCAGCUCAUCACAAUUUUGAGAUAUUAAAGACAGGUUACACUAAUUCCCAUUAAAUUCAGUAAUCAGACUCACCCUGGCCCAUGACGAUGGGCUAUAGUAGGAAGCAGCAGAUUGUGCUGCCUUAGGUGAGCUUUUUCUUACUGUGGUCAAGCAGAUUAGUUUGCCCUAACACACCUGAGGGGAGGAUAUAAUCUGUGGGUAGUAAAACAGUGGUCCAUAGGCUAGAAGACACUUAAGUGAGGAUGAAGUCACAGGUCCACCUGCUCCCUUCUGGUGGAGUGUGAAAUGGAUAAGAGCACAAACGAGUCGAUAGAAAUCUCAGGAAGCAAGAAGGAGAAUGGGACAUCUGUAACGUAAUUUCUCCUGGGCUCGUGUGGUGCAGCCUAAACUCCACACUGUACAGAGAAGUUUUUUGAGAUUCACAAGCUUUGACUGAGCACAUGGUUGAGUACUCACACUGUGAUCAUGAGAGGUGCGAGCCCACUUAUCAGAAUGAAGGAGUGGGCCUCUUUCCAGCUGCCCUGGGCAGUACGGUGAUGAGCAUUUCACGUUUGCUGAGAACUGACUUAGCAGUUUCUGUUGGCCUUCUGUAGGUUUCUGAGUCGUUCAUGUAAGAAGGGUCAAGUGAAACCCAUGUAAUAUUUAGGCACAGAGUAAAAGAAUCGGUAUAAAUACCGUUCACAAUAGGUGAUUGAUAAAUGUGGGCUAUGGGCCAAAAUGUUUAAGACAAGAUGUUUAAAGUAGAGUUCAUACCACCAUCCUAAUUCCUAGAGACCAAUCUGGGGAGCUUCCAGCAUCUGCUGCUUCCACUGGGGUAACAAUGAGUUGUGCUCCUCCGUGCCCAAAGCUGUCAGCUCACCUGCUGCAGUCAUCCCCUUAUCUGUGGUGGAAACCUCCAAAACGUCACGUGGCUUAUACAGCCUACAGCUCUAUCUAAAAACAGUUCAGGGCUUCCUCAUACAGCUAAAGAAUUUCAGGAGGAAUAGUAAGAACACAUAGUUGGACUGACUAACUCCAAGUCCUGAAGCUGCAUUAUCUUUGAUGGCUGACAGGAGCUCCAAGGUGAACGGUUCUCUCUCUGUUGUUCUUUCACUCCUCAAAGCAACCACCUCUCCAGACCCGAGAGCUCCUGGCAGGUAUGAUGGACGGCAAACCCUAAUGAAGGGUGUGGUUUGGCUGGAAGCAUCAGGACUUAGCACGCCGUACAAAUUCUCAUCUGAAAUGGGAGAAUCAGGAGCCAAUUUCUGGAACAUAAUUUAUUCCAGACACUAGCUGGAAUAAACAGCAUUCUGUAACCUCCUCAGAUAUUUUGCCAGUAGGGAGCUGUCUUUACACUUCUUUCAACCGAGUCAGUGAUCCAAACACAAAAUUCAUCACUCAAGAACACAAUGUGGUUUUACAGACUCGAGGAUUUGAGUUCAUUACCACGGACAUUACUGAGCCCUAUCUGGAUGUUUUUCGCUCUGUGUCAGACCCACAGCAGCACGCUGCUUGCCUUGCCCUGAGCAGUAAAAGCAGCAGCCCUCGGUCCAUCGUGUGGUCUAACUUUCUAGAAGCAACUUGAGCAUGUGCUCAGUUUCUAAAAUAUUCAUUGUUUUACUUCAGUGAAGUUUCGCCCUGGAAAAGCAGCGUAAAAAUAAGACCUCCUCGCUCAGUAAGUGCUCUCUUGUCUGCCUCAGAGUCUGUUGGUGUCUUUCAGUAACAGAAAGAAAACAGCAAUGCUUUUGCCCCCACUUCCCUGCAGCAGCACAUAUGCAGCUGUGGCUGGGGAUGAGCUGGAUUCCAGCUGCCCUGGUGCUGCCGUUCAGAACAAAGGCACUGCCACGAGUGCAAACCUGGGUGCCCAUGUCAACACAGCCUGGUGAAAUGGAGCUUUCCAGCUCCGGAGAUACGUGUCAUCCUCUGCUCGGUGCCACUAAAAGCAAAGUCCCACACUGAAUUUUUAUCAGUAGAAAAAAAUGCAGAGGGAAAACUUACUGGAGUGGUUUCUGAUGAGACAUUUCAGAGGCAGAUGCUGUUCCCUCUGACUUCCAAUGGAUUUCGAGCAUUUUUUUUCAGUGUCUGUGAAAUCAUCAACUGCUUUCUAAGACCCAACGUUGCAAACAGCUGCGCUUGUGAUUAUAAUGAGCCCGCUUAUGGAGCUAGGUACGAGGGUGUACACAUACAGAAGUUUCCUUUAUGAAACAAAUGCUUCAAACCAGAUCGUAAAUUAUCAAAGAAAUCCUAUUUUAUUGCCUUUUAUGAUUUCAGCUCCCUGUUGCUUUUAGUUGUCCCCCCUCUCCCUGAUACUCGUGAAGACCUUCAAACCGAGCGCUGCACGUGAAAUAGAACAAUAUCGUUUGCUUUGGUCUCUCUAAGAACACAAUUCCAGACGAGGUUCUUCAACAGCAAAGGCCUGAAGUUAGAAACCUGCGUGCCUAACAACGACACCGAUGGGGCUGAACGGUUCUGAGUGAUAACCCGCAUGUUUAAGGUCCCAAACACGGUUUUGUGCAUCAGUGCUGUGUGAGACGCUCGUGGAAGCUGCCCGGCACAGAGCGACUACUGCAAAUUUGAAACAGCAAUUUCCCAUAUUCAGUUCAGUCAAAGGUGCCUUAUCUGGAAUCUCGGGAAACUUCUUUGUAAAUGUGCCUCGUUUUCCUGAGAAGGUUAUGGCUCCGUUUAACUCCUAGCAGUCCGAGAGGCCGGUCUGUGUAACUUAAUCGUCUUGUUUACGAUCUAAGCCUUGCUUAUCUAUCAUUAUUCUAUCCUCAGGAAGAUCAUAAAAGAAAAUUACUCGGUAUAUUCGAGAAAACUGUGUUCAUAAGGAGAUGUUCAAAUGGUUUUACCAUUCCCACCCUCGGAUCUCCUUGUAAAUAUUAACCCACGAGGCACGGAUGUGUUGUAACGAGCAGAAAAUAGAAGAGUAACGUUGUUCUAAUGAACGAAAGGAUACGAAGGCACUGCAGCACAUUUCUGACACAUCAAGAGGAAAAAGAUAUAUAUAUAUGUCCUCAGCUGUGUGAGGAAAAGUUGUUUAUCACCUUCUGUAGGUUUGUUUGGGCCUCUUCUGCGCACACUUCUGGGAUCACUCCAGACAGCGAACUCAUUGGGAAUAAAUUGAAGGAAACGCUGCAAGUUUUAAGGAAAUAUCCUCCCGCGAUCAAAGCGAAACGUGUGGAGCAGAGGCAAAAAGCGGUAUCUGUGGCACAGAGCUCCGGCGGUGCUGCGGGACCGGGACUGCUCCGUCCGUUCCCCCGGGGUGCGCGAAACCGGCUGUGCUGCGCCCCGGCGCUGAGUUGGGCGCUGAGUGCUUUGAGGGGACUUCCCGGCCUGAGGCCCUUCAGUUGUUUUAAUUGGGAUUUGGGGUUGGGGGGGCGGGUUGGAACAGAGGACAUGAGGUGGGGCUGGGCCAGUCCGGGGUGUCGCAGCGGUGACCUCCUGCAGCACUUCGAGGGUGUCGGGGGAAGGCUUUCGGGGCUGCUCCUUGCGCAUUGCCGCCGGGGGGUUCUUAUGCCCAGGAGAAAACUGGGACGUCAAAAAGGAUGGGGGAAAAAAAAGGACGCGCCCUCCCCCUCCCAACAAAACAAACAAAUGCAACAGAACCAGGCAGACAACAACAAAACAACACCCCGAAACCUUUCGCCUGAAAACCGACUCAUCGCUGCUGCGUAACAGUCUCCUAAACACGAGAAGCUGACGUGACUUUGUCCCUUUCGCUGUUCGCAGUGUCUGAGCGCAGCAACUGCCGAUGGACGCGUUCGGCUUUGAAGUUAUGGAAAUGGCUUCGCAGGCAUCAGCCGGUAUGAUAAUAGGUUUCAUUCUGGCUCGCUAGCUACGAGAUGGGAAAAUGCCAAAAAAACGCAGCUCUCUUCCGGGGUAUCUGAAAUGUUCGGUCCCUCCUCCGAGAGGCAUUUCGGUGGGAGGCCAAGCUCGGAGAGAUGAAGGACUGCAUAUGUUCAAAAUUACGUUUUCGACAGAAAUUCAGAUCUACCGCUUCGUGUUUAAACGUGAAGUGGGACAGAAGCGAGGGGCGAAGGGGGGCGGGGGGCUCAGCGUACAGGAAACAUCACUGGGAAACCUGGAAUGUAGCAGCAAGGAUCAAAAGUUAAUGGCCUAUUUGAUGUGAAAAGUGAGCCGGGGAUGCCUGAGAGCGAAAAGAGCCGGCGGGACGCACCGCGCCGCCGGACGGCCCCCGCCCCGCGCAAACAGCGAAGCCAAAAAUAGCGCGCAGGUAGGAGCGGCUCCCCGCGCCUUGCUCCGGCUGUUUCCCGCGGGUCCCGCAGCCCCCGCGGCGACGAGUUGCGCGCAGUGCGCAGAGCGGGGCGGUGCGCGGGGCGGAGCAGCGAGCGCAACGCGCGCAAGGGCUGCGCGGCCGUGGGCGGGCAGCGAGCGCAGGAGGCGUCAGCCCUGUCCGCACACCGCGUGUGUCAGCUCCUGCCAGCGCCUGGUGGAAACGAAGGGCUUAAAUGACGCGCAAAUUGCGCGGAAUUUGAGACAACUGAGAAAACUUUCGAGGAGCAGACCGUUUGCUCCUCCGCACUGUGGAUGCUGCACCAUCUCGCUGCUGAUAAAGCUGGUCAGAAAAUAUCAGCCGCUGGUUCAACCCAAAGAUUUCAGCCACCCCACAGGGCUUAAUGAUAUUUUUCUAAAAAUAACGCGCUCCCUUGUGCCGUUUAAUUUCUCCUGCUUUAGCAUACGCUUUGAAUUAAAACCGUUGACAAGACUGUAACGAAAAUACUGAUUGAUGUAAACAUGGCCUGAAACAAAUCCACGCUUGAUUGUUUCUCUGACGAUGCUGAUUAAAGCCAACCCGCGCUUCCCCCGCGCCCGGCCGAGGUCUCCGACUUUGUCGGGCUGCGGCGGUGCCGGAGUGCAGUGCGAGGGCCGGGGAGACGGGCAGAAAUGCGGCAUUUGUUGGGCAACCCGAGCGGAUUGGAGGAGGCAUUAAGUACAUGGAGCGCAGUCAUUUUCUCCCUCGUUGGUCCCAUCCCAGCCUCCAGAUUUAUUCAACUGUUGAGAGAAGUCUGAAGUCAGCCCAUUGCCAGCGCUAGAAUGAAAAGGCGAAGGAAAGCCAAAAAUGCCUGUGGUCUCCGUAAACUACAUUAAAUCGCGGGGGUUUUCUAUUUAGGUGGAUAAUGAAGCGCGUAAAACGGUAGAUAAAAAUCAGUCGCUAUGGACUGUCUAGGAUUUCGUCUGUUUUUAUUAAUUUUCAUAGGAGAUUUGAAGAUUUAAGGGAUCUCUGCGCUACGAGCGGGCGCUGCGGCUGAGCUCACCCUCCGGGGACAGCCUCGGAGGCAGCGUUGUGCCACCGCCCCGCCGCCGGCAGCGCUCGGCCCGAGUCCCCCCGGCCCCUUCCACCGCCACGCUCAGCCACCGGGGCCGGGUGCGAGGGAAAAGGUGCCUCUGCGUUCCGGGCAGAGCUCCCCGGCCCCCGGCUCUGGCAGCAUUUGGGUUGGGGUCCCCCUGGGAAUUCUGACUUUUUGGCGGCGGCGCUGCGCGGUCUUUAAAUAUAUUCUCAGAGAUACGUCUAUCGUCGGAAAUAAGCGAAUAUAGGGGAGAGGGGAGGAUGCUGGAUUUGUAUUUGGGCACAUUCCCGCAACGGCGUCAGCCGAGUCGCGGAGCAAAACCCGCGAUCCCCGAGCGACCUCGGCGCUGAGGUCUCCCAGGGCAGCGCUCCUCCUCGGCCGGAGCCGUGCG